AGAGUUUAUAGAGAUAAAUGUCAUAAUAUAAUCAGAGUAUUUAUUACAAAGCGGAAGUCUUACAAAAAUAAAAGAUAAAUAUAACAGGAUCUAAAAUCUAUUCUUGGCGCCAGAGAGUCAACUGGGAGACGCCACCUAGAUCGAAUCGAACUCCUCGAUGCGUGGCUCCACUUGAACCACCUGUUCUUCUCCUAUGGGGGGUGUGAGACAGCAAGGGUGAGCUCACAUAUGUUCAUCACUCAACAAGUUGUGGGGAAUAAUUUGCAUGAACUCACCAAAGGUGGGAGUUCAUGUGAUGUGUAAAGCUGAUCAACAAUAGGGGUUAAAGCUGAGCAUUGCUUUUAAUAAGUUGGUCAAAUUUUAUUAGCAAUUACUAAAUGUAAGUAAAUACCAAACCAUAAUAAAUAAUAAAACAAAAUUAAUAAUAAUCCCAUGCAAAUGCAAAUGACAAAUUGAAUUUAGGUUCCAUAAAUUAAUCAUGUGAGGGUCCGAGCUGCUCAUGACUGUGAGCAUGGCUAGUAUACCAGUUUUACACUCUGCAGAGGUUGCGCAUCUUUACCCACAAGUCAUGUUACCCAUCUGCCAAGGUGUCAUGAAUCCCAUACACCUCUACCGAGGAGGCGAGGCAGGGUAACACUACGAGGCCUUUACAAAGUUCCACUAUCUUCAGAAAACCCGCUACAGUUUAUAGGAAGCUCCAGUGCAGGAAUUCCUCGCCUGACCGCCAUUGUAGCAAAACCAACCCAAGGACCUCCCUACACUGACCACUCCCCUACUGCCGUUGCCCCUUUCGGGUAAGGUAGUCAUCCACUAGGUUUCCUAGUUAAUCAGCCAAGGGCGUCCCAUUAAACCCUUGUGGUAGCACUGUUUUCUCGGGUGGUCGCUCCAUGUUCCCAUUAACAUAAUGAUCUUAUCAUGAACAUAAAUAACAUAACAGAAUAAUAGGAACAUGGAUAUAAUGAAAUAUUAACCCGAAACCACAUAAUGCAAUAGCAUAACUAUCCAAGUGAAUCAGGGGUAAACAAGGUAAACAAGAUAAACAUACUAGGGUGACCUAUUGGGUCCCAUCAAAAUUAAACCUAUGCAUGAAUAGUGAUAAUAAAGAACAUUAAUGGGUAAAUGAAAGUGAUCAAGGGCACAACUUGCCUGGCACUUGAGAUUCCAGUUACCAGGGUGAUUCUUCAAAUCCUCGUAACCUUACUGCUAGUCGUAGCAAUACAAGCAGACAUGGUAUAGACAAAAUUAACAUCACACCAAACAUAAGUACAAACUGAAUAAUAAUGAUCUACGCGAAGCUACGAGAUCGUGGGAACGAGAACCACUAAAAUCGGUGUUACUGUUAAGAAGUUAUAGUUUUACAAAAGAUCUGUGUGAUUAAAAUAUUAAACUAUAUUAUAAUUUGGUUAAUAUAAAUCAUAUGAGAGGUUAUUCAUCUCUAAUCUAUGUCAUAAAUUGACCAUUGAUCAUAUUCUUGUAGAUUAUAAUGCUAAGUAGUUUAACGAGACUAACCAACAUAAGUUAAAUAAAGAUCUAAUUAUAAAAGAACAAGACAUGGUAUAUAAAUAUUGUUAUUGUGUUGGGGGCCUUCGGCUUCCGAAGGUCCUCAAAAACGUGAUUUGACAAAUGUUUUCUAAGUAUGCGAGCAGGUAUCUUCGGAAUCAGGUUGCGGGUAUACAGAAACAUGGUCAAGACGAAGCUUAUCUGGGACGGCGAUCACGACGAAGGAUAAGAUGAUCACGAAGCUACGUGCAGAAGAGCUUCGGCAUAACAACGGGAAGGGGAAACCGACUUUAAGAUGAAAAGCCAAAUUAGACCUCAAAGAAUUACUAUAGAGUUAUUGAUAAAUGUAAAGGGCAUUAAUGUAAUCUUGCAUGGGCUGCGACCCGUGCCUAUAAAUAGGUGAACAGUAUUCAUGUACUGUUCACGCUGACUUGGCAUUCACUUUUGCGUCACGCCUGUAUUCUCUUUCCUUCAAGCCGAAGGUACAUUUGUAAUUUAUCAUUGUUUACAUAAGCAAUAUAAAUGGAGAUAGAUUAAUAAUAAUGUUUACAGAAAUUAUGUUACUUUCUGUACUUUGUUCGAAUGUUCUCCAUCUUUUUAUCAUGAUCAUGAAGAUAUGUCCUUCAUGACCUUCGUCCUAAAUUCGUUAUAUCCGAAGGGAAAUAAUGAUUUGAAGGACGAAGGGCUUUGAUAUUUAACAUUUUAUGUUGCCUUAUUCUUGAUUCAUAGCAUUUGAGAAUAAGUCCCCAACAUUGGCGCCCACCUCCGGUGAACUCACUUCCAUUUUUUGAGUCUUGAACACUUUCGGCAAGCAUCACUUUCGUCAUGCCGCCGAAAAAAGCUUCAGCGACAGGGGCUGGUACUUUACAGCCGCUGGAUCCCAAUCAGGACGUCCUUUCUCUCAGAGAGGCCCGAAGCCAGAAGAGGAAGGUUGUUAGUCCAACACCUUCGGAAGAUGACUUGGAUCAGGAGAUCCAAAACCUAGAGAUCCUUCAGCAACAGGUGCAACGCAAGAAGGAGAAGAUGGCUCGUCUAGCUGACCUUCAGAGACAGAUAGACGAAGCUUCCGAAGAGGUUCGUCAUCUUGUUCAAGAUGACCAGAGCCGAAGGCCUCCACGCAAGGAGCUCCAUCAGGAAGGCUUUCACAAUGAGGACGACUGGUAUGAAGAUUUCCAUCAUGGAAAUUUUGCUUUCGAUGAUGCUUCUCCUCUCUCAACAGAAUUGCAGGCUACACCAUGGCCCCAGUCUUACAAGCCACCCCAACUCCCCAUGUAUGACGGUCAUACAAACCCGAAGCAAUUCUUGAUGAGCUAUGAAGCAACCAUAUCUUCGUAUGGUGGCAAUACUGCAGUCAUGGCAAAAUCUUUUGUCAUGGCCGUCAAGAGCGUUGCUCAGACCUGGUACUCUUCUCUUCGGCCAGGGACAAUCACUUCUUGGCAAAAGUUGAAGGAUAUGUUGAUAACUAGCUUCCAAGGGUUUCAGACGAAGCCAGUCACUGCUCAAGCUCUAUUUCAAUGUACCCAGGACCACGAAGAAUACCUCCAGGCGUAUGUCCGAAGGUUUCUGCGUCUGAGGGCACAUGCGCCAACAGUGCCCAAUGAAAUUGUCAUUGAGGCCAUGAUUAAGGGGCUUCGGCCGAGACCUUCAGCGCAGUACUUUGCCAGGAAGCCACCACAAACUUUGGAGAAGCUGCUCCAGAAGAUGGACGAAUAUAUUCGAGCUGACAAUGACUUCCGCCAAAGAAGGGAGGAAGCAUUCAGGUUCUCUGAAAUGACCAGGGGCUUCGGAGGAAGAUUUCACCCGAGGCACGUUAGGUCAAUUCAUAACUCUACUCAAAGUGAUGAUCGAGGGAGCCAGCAGCAAAGCCCACAAUACUCUUCACAAGCUUCGGGGCAGCAGCAAAGUUCUUUUCGGCUGCCAGCGCCAAGGGGCAGAGGCGCCAGGGGCUUCGGGGGAAGGUUUGGAGAUCAGCCAAGAAAAAUUUAUUGCCUAUUCUGUGGUGAAGACAAGGGCCAUACCACCAGGAUGUGCCACGUUACCAUCCAGAAGCAGAAGGAGAUAGCAGAAGCAGCUGCGCAACAAAGUCAGCCGAAGCAGGUCAUGCAUACUGCUUCGUAUCAUUCGCCUUAUAUUCCAGAAUAUGUAGGCAACCACCCUGCAGCUUCUGUUGCUUCGGCAAGCCAACCUCAAGCAUCUUGGCAGCAGCCUCCACCGCCACCGCCGACGCAGCGAGGACAGCAGCCAGAAGGGAGUCAGCACAAUCACCUUCAUAGAGACUUCAGAGAGGAGUCCGAAGCUCGCACAGUCAAUAGCACUGUGCCAGAGUCGAAGCACAUUUAUUGAUAAAUAUCCUACCUCAGCAGCAGUUUUUUUGCAUUUUUACAUUCAGUAUUAUCUUUUUGUUAAUAAGGAACAAUUAUGAGAAGUUUAAGCGUCUUUUAUCAUUUUUCAAUUUCUUGUAACACUGUCGUCUUUUACCAUAAUAAAAAUAUGUCCUUUCCAUAGGCUUGAGUUGCCGAAGCAUACGAAUUUAUGGUGGCAUGAAGGACCUUUGUAUUAUCAAAAAUUUGUUCUAACGGACACAGUGCAAAUUGUUCAAAACAGUAAAAAGUCGUUCCUAAGGGAGCACAGUGUAAGUUUUCUGAACCUACAGCGAAAAGUCAGCGCUGAUUCCACCGAAAGUAAAAGGCGAAGAAGCUCCUAAGGGAGGCUUACAACGAAAAAUAAACGCUGAUUCCGCUGAAAGUAAAAGGCGAAGAAGCUCCUAAGGGAGGCUUACAGCGAAAAAUAAACGCUGAUUCCGCUGAGAGUAAAAGGCGAAGAAGCUCCUAAGGGAGGCUUACAACGAAAAGUCAGCGCUGAUAUAAAAAGUGUGUGUGCUCUAUUACAGGGACAUGUAUCUGCGGCACAAAUAUCAUUUCGCAUAACAUAACAUCAUCACAUCAUUUUGCAUAACAUAAGCAUCAUACAGCAUAUUGCAUGUGGAACAAGAAGGGGAUACAGUGUUGAUCUUCGGAGAAUAUUUUGGAAAAGAGAAAAUCGUGCUAAGGCACAAGAUAAAUCGAGACGAAGUGUAGCUUCAUUAGAGAGGCAACACAAAACUUUUUUAUAGCUUCGGAGAAUAUUUCACGAAGCUUGGAUAUUCUUCAUCAAAGAAAUAUGCAAAAUUUUUGUGAUAUAGAAAAGAUUUUCUUCACGAAGCAUGAAAAGAAGGGAAGGUGUUUUUUCGCCGAAGGCUCAAAAAUGGUAUGUAUGCAAAAUUUCAUGCAUCGUAAAGAAUUAAACUAUAAAUAGAUUAUAUAUUACAUUCAAAGUUACAAUGUAUUACACAUGUUACGUUCCAAAUGUUUCUACAAUAGCGUUUAAUCCUCCUUAAGAACUAUUUCUGCAGCUUCGUUCAGUAGCUGGUCGACAACCUUGUCCAUAAUGGCUUCGGCCAUUUUUCUAAUUUCAUUGUCCCCCUUCGGAUGGGGGCCCGGAGAUGCCUCAGCAGGUUCUGAGGGAAGAGAAGAUACGGCUAUAUUACUAUUACAAACCGCGAACAAAGUCUGGAAUUAAAAAUUACAACAUAAUAAAAACCACUAAUUAAUACCUAUUUGCCCUUCGGGCUCUGUACUUUUCUCGGCAGCUUCUGUCACUUUUCUAGCAUCGUUGAUGCCUUUUUCACUCUUUUGAAUAAUUUCUUGUGCCAUUUCUCGGCCGCCGUUGUCCCAGAUAUCGGUGAAGAAUUUUCCGCCGACCAUGCUUGCUUCGGCUGAGGGGUCUUUAAUGUCUUCGGAGGACAAAGUAGCUUCGAACUGCGCUAAGGAUUUUUCAUGCUCGCAACCUUUCCUCUCCAAAACAGUAGCAAUUCCUCUAGCACCCGAAAAAGCACAUAUGUCACUGCGGUUAUUCAGGAUUUCCUCGAAGGCCUCUGCUUCGUGACUGAUUCAUUCCAUUGGACCUUCGGGAUUGCCUCUUGAGAAAUUCUCUUCACUAGAGAAUGUGCCAACGUUGGCGAAGCUGGAUUUUAUCUUCUUAACGCACUCUAUGGAUUUAACAUAGCAUUUUCUCUGGGAUGCACGAAGCUCUUUAACACUUAUUUCUAAAUGAUUGGCCCAUUGAUCACUAAGCUCUCGUUUUGUCUCUUCAAGUAUAUGUUCUUCUUUAGCUCUAGCUAGCUAUUUCUGAAGAUCUUUAAUUUCACGUUUUUGGGCUUCAGCUUGGGCCUUUGAGGUAGCUUCGUCCUCUUUUACCUUGUCCACCAAUGUAAGCAGAAUUUUAUCCUUUUCCAGAGCUUCGUUUCUCAGUUUAAUAACCUCUGAUCGUAGGUUGUUGAAAGCAAUUUCAUAGCUCUCGUCUUCGGCAUUCUUUUGCGCUCUCAACGCGUUGCUUAGUAUUAAACCCUAUAUGUAAAAGAGUUGGCAUAAGAAUAAAAGAAUGAGUUGCGAAUUAUAAAAUUUCCAAACGCGCAGUUCUCAUACCUUCAGACUAUUGUACGCAAGACUAUCCGCAAGAUCGACCUUCGUCAUAGCGCAUAAUCCAGCUUCAAGCUUCGGAAACCCCAUACUCCUAGCCAUCUCCCGGCACACAGAUAAUUCUUUGUUGUCUGGGAGGCAGUAUAGGAAGUCAUCUUUGUCUGUCCCAUUGAACACUAGUGCCCCCUUCGGAUAUUUCAAUUCUCUGGCAUAGUGAUUAGCUUCAAAAUUUUCUUCUUCGGAUAAUUUCUUUCCCGAAGCGUGUCGCACAGUAUAAUUGUAUAUUUUUGAAGGUGCUUCGGGGGCGGCAGUGUCGGUUUCUUCAACCAAAAUUGGCUCUGAUAUUUUUAUUUUCUCGGCUGCCUCUGCAAUGUUCGUUUCUUCGGUUUCAAAAGGUUUUACCUUGGUUGGCUCUGAAGGCCCAGCUUCAGUUUCAAAUUGUUGCUUCGAAGCUUCGGCACCAAAGGCUUCAGUAGACACUUCCGAAGUUUCAACAGUUCUCUUUGGAGUUAUGCUUGAAGAUUUAAUUGUCUCCAAAACAUCUAAUACAUUAACCAUUCUUUUUCUUUUUGGGGUUACGAUUGGACCUUUCGGCACCAAAACUUCUGAUGUUUUUGCUUUUUCGGUCCUUGGUUCUUCCAAUUUUUCUGUUGCUGGCACUUCGGUCAGCUCUUUGAUUUCUGGCAGCAGAGUCUUUGGUUCUUCCAAUUUUUCUGUUGCUGGCACUUCGGCCAGCUCUUUGGCUCCUGGCAGCAGAGUUGAUUCCUUAGCCUUGGGGGCCGAAGAGGUCUCACCGGCGAACUCAGGCACUGUGGCUAGUUCAAUGUAACGUGGCCGGUGUGUAAGAACCUUUACCCUUUUCCUCUUCGGCGCCGGCUCAGUAGGAGCGGCUGAGGCAGUUUCUUUCGCAGAAGAAGUGUUCUUUCUUUUUUGACCCUGCACUGGAUAAUGGUAGUCGGGGUACACGAACCCAAUUGCGUCAAAUACUCAGUUCAGUCUUUUCUUUUUUCGACCUCCGAAAGCUGCUGACAAUGCAGUAUCUUCGGCCUUUGAAUAUACUCCAAGCAGUUCAUCACUUACAGUUUCAAUGCUUUUUAGCCAGUCAUCAUCUGGCUCAACGAAUUUAUCUCCAAACUUAAAUGUGUACUUCAGCCUGACUAGUCCACUUUCGUCAGUCUCUUUAAUGUUCUCCUGCGGCAUCUCCCAUUUUUCCACAAGCGGCCAUACUCUGAAGGCAAUGUGUUCUUGGACCAAAUCCCUCGUCCCAAUAAAAGAGCAAACAACUCCGAAGGCUCUCGGCAUUCUUCGGCUGCUUCAUUCAUUUCCACCUUCGGCCUCCGCAGGCCGAAGCGUUGCCAGAUGGGAUGCAUAAUGAUCUUCUUUAUAUCUUCUCGAGAUUUCAAGUCAUUCUUCACGUAAAACCAUUCCGUCAUCCAGUCGCCAGGCCAUCUCUUUUGAAAAGUCGGCACGGGGCAGCUUGACCCAGACCGAGAGCCGAAGCUGUAGCAGCCAAAGUUGUUGUGAUAUUGUUCCUUACCCUAGGGUUUUGUCUCAUAUAACAAUUCGUAUAUGUUGCAGAAGCUUUUCGCAUCAGGUUCCAAGCCUUGGCUUCUCACGGCCCACACGAAGAUAUUCAUCCUUAUGAUUUCUUCGGGGGUAAGUUGGUGAAGGUAGAUUUCAAAUAUCUUCAGCACCUCUACAACAAAACUGCUUAGGGGAAAUCGUAGUCCAGCUUUCAAGAAGCUUCGGAAUACUACGACUUCAUUUUCCUCAGGAGUUGGACAAGUUCUCUCUCCUUCGUCGGCCCUCACAACGGACAAGUCCCGGAAAUAUCUUCCCCUCAUGUUGACAAGAUGAUUUUCUUUAAUACUUGAUUUGCCGAAAACCGCAUGGCUUGGUCGCCAAGGUCGAUCUUCGGAGUCUUCACCACCACUAUCCACAUCAUAGCUGUCGCUGUCACCAGUAUCUUCAGAUAAACCUUCUAAAAUUUCUUUGGUGAUCUUCUCUGUAUUAGUCUUCGACAUAGAUUGAAGAAAAACCAGAUGCAUUUCCUCAGAAAGACUCAGCUUCGAACCACCAACAACUUUGUUAUCUUCAGACAUCCUUGCAAACGCUAAGAAAGUGCUUUCAACGCCGAAGCCUUAAAAUUUAAAAGGCCGAGUAAAGGCUGUUGCGCGUAGGCUAAAGGUUGGGUGAGUAAAAACAGUUGGCAAGAUAGCGUGUCAAAUAACUCGGGGUGAGCUCUUAUUUAUACGCCCAGGGCGUUGGAAACUGGAGGGUCCCGCUUGUCAAAGACUGUUGCUAUUCUAGCAAAGAGAAGGUGUUUUUUCGGACCUUCGGCUUAAGGCCUUCGUCCAUUUCGCAAUAUGAAUUUAUCAUUACAGCAAAAUUAAUAUUGCGAGGGGCUACUGUUGGGGGCCUUCGGCUUCCGAAGGUCCUCAAAAACGUGAUUUGACAAAUGUUUUCUAAGUAUGCGAGCAGGUAUCUUCGGAAUCAGGUUGCGGGUAUACAGAAACAUGGUCAAGACGAAGCUUGACUGGGACGACGAUCACGACGAAGGAUAAGAUGAUCACGAAGCUACGUGCAGAAGAGCUUCGGCAUAACGACGGGAAGGGGAAACCGACUUUAAGAUGAAAAUCCAAAUUAGACCUCAAAGAAUUACUAUAGAGUUAUUGAUAAAUGUAAAGGACAUUAAUGUAAUCUUGCAUGGGCUGCGACCCGUGCCUAUAAAUAGGUGAACAAUAUUCCUGUACUGUUCACGCUGACUUGGCAUUCACUUUUGCGUCACACCUGUAUUCUCUUUCCUUCAAGCCGAAGGUACAUUUGUAAUUUAUCAUUGUUUACAUAAGCAAUAUAAAUGGAGAUAGAUUAAUAAUAAUGUUUACAGAAAUUAUGUUACUUUCUGUACUUUGUUCGAAUGUUCUCCAUCUUUUUAUCAUGAUCAUGAAGAUAUGUCCUUCAUGACCUUCGUCCUAAAUUCGUUAUAUCCAAAGGGAAAUAAUGAUUUGAAGGACGAAGGGCUUUGAUAUUUAACAUUUUAUGUUGCCUUGUUCUUGAUUCAUAGCAUUUGAGAACAAGUCCCAACAUAUUGCAUAGUAAAUAUUCAUAUGAAGCUAACGCAACUGGAAUGGCUCGAUUCGGAGUUAAAAUGGGGAAGUUAUGAAUUUCCCAAGUUUUAUGUAUUUGAUAUAAGAUUAAUUAGGAAAUAAAUUUUAAAGUGACUUUCAUGUCAAAACAGUGGCACUAUUUGGUAAACAACAACAUUACAAAAUUAUAGGAAUUAAAAUGGACUAAUUUGAAUUUAACAUGAAUUUCCUAUUGAUUAAACAAAUUCUAGCAAUUAUUUUUAUAUUAAAAAUUCCUUUCCAAAUUAUUUUUCUCUGAUUUUACUAACUCUCAAUACUACGCGCCAAUUACAAAGAAGUCCAGGGGCUUUAUCAAAAGAAUCCCCAGACCCAGUCAACAGUGCUCGGGACGACGGGUUUAUAUCUAAUUUCUGUGGGGUCUCUUUUGUAAAACGUACGAGGCCAAAGGGUUACGGUUAACUCUAGACCACUCGAUCCGCUACGGACGGCCUAGAUUCAAGAUCGUGAAUGAUUAUUUCUGCUCUAAUCUUAACCAUACCUUACCGAUCUAACGGUCACCGUUUCCAACCUGUUGGGCCCAUGCUUCGUUGCGCCGAAGGUCUUGCGUGAAGAAGCAGCUUCGGCUGAAAUCGUCCCCAGGAAAUGGCCGAAGGUUCCUUUUUAUAGAGCUUCGGCGUUGCAAACCGACAUAAAGAUAGAAUGACCUUUUUAUCCUUAGAGGUCUAAGAUAAUGUUGUAAACUUUUGUAAAGGGCAUAAUUGUAAUUCGUCACAGGCUGCGUCCUGUGUCUAUAAAUAGAUGAACAGUACCCCCGUACUGUUCACACGCUGACUUGGCAUUUGCUUUUGCGUCACGCUUGUACUUUUUACCUUCUCUCAGGACCGAAGGUACAUUUGUAAUUUGAAAUCAUUUCUAUUUUUCCAUGUUAAUAAAAUAGAAAUGAUUCUAUGAUGAUGCUUAUAUUAUAUUUCAUGCUUUAUAUGAGUCCUUCGUCAUUACUUGUUAUGUUUACGAAGGUAUGUCUCUUAUGACCUUCGUCCGAAAUUCAUUAUUUCCCGAAGGGACAUAAUGCUUCGAAGGACGAAGGACUUUAACACUUAACACUUUUUAUGUUGCCUUGUUCUUAACUCUUAGCAUUUGAGAACAAGUCCCCAACAUUGGCGCCCACCUCCGGUGAACUCACUUCCACUUUUCUGAGCUGAUGGCUUCGUUCAACAAUCAAGCUGGAGUUGCUUCGGACCCGAAGCUGGUGCUCCCGAUCACAGGUGGCUCGUCCUCAGAGCCAGCUAACAAGAAGCAGAAGAAGGAAGCGCAGAGAAGAGUACAGCAUGUUGGGGUGCAAGGACCCUUCAUCAAAUCAAGAUGGUCUCACAUUCCUAUUACCUUCUCUCAAGAGGACCUUCAGCUCAAAGAUUACCCACACAACGAUGCCAUGGUUAUCUCUUGUGUUAUCAAAGGAUUUCUGGUUCACAAUGUCUUGGUCGAUACAGGCAGUGCAGCUGACAUCAUAUUUGCUAAAGCCUUCAGACAGAUGCAAGAGCCAGAAGAUAAGAUUCAUGAUGCUACACAUCCUCUUUGUGGCUUCGGAGGAAGACAGAUUGUAGCACUGGGCAAGAUCACCAUGUCAGUAACCUUCGGAUUCAUCAACAACACUAGAACUGAGCAAGUUGUGUUUGACAUUGUUGACAUGGAAUAUCCUUACAAUGCAAUUAUUGGUCGUGGUACUCUUAAUGCCUUCGAAGCAAUCCUUCAUCCUGCCUAUCUUUGCAUGAAGAUACCUUCGGACCAAGGGCCUAUUGCUAUCCAUGGAAGCCAGGAAGCUGCUAGAAGGGCCGAAGGAAGCUGGACCGACUCCAAGGCAAUCCAUAAUAUAGAUGGAACUGAAGCUUGUGAACAGUACAAAUUCAGAAGGGAGAAGGCAGCUUCAGCAGAUCAGCCGAAGCCCAUGCUAUUGUGUGAGGACAUAGCAGAGCAGAAGGUGCUGUUGGGCUCGCAAUUAUCUGAAGACCAGGAGAAAACCUUGAUAAGGUUUUUAUUCAACAACAAAGAUGUUUUUGCAUGGUCGGCUAAUGAUCUCUGUGGAGUAAAUCGGGAUGUUAUUGAACAUUCGCUCAAUGUUGACCCAUCCUUCAGACCCCGAAAGCAGAGGCUUCGGAAAAUGUCUGAUGACAAGGCCGAAGGGGCUCGCAAUGAAGUAAAAAGACUCCUCAGUGCAGGAGUUAUCAGAGAAGUGAAGUAUCCAGAGUGGCUAGCUAACACUGUUAUGGUGAAGAAGGCCAAUGGCAAGUGGAGAAUGUGUAUCGAUUUCACAGAUCUCAACAAGGCUUGUCCGAAGGACGAAUUCCCGUUGCCAAGGAUAGACUCUCUAGUCGAUGCAGCAGCUUCUUCAGAGCUCAUGAGUCUCUUGGACUGUUACUCAGGAUAUCAUCAAAUCUGGAUGAAAAAGGAAGAUGAGCCGAAAACUAGCUUCAUAACUCCAAGUGGCACGUAUUGCUAUCUUCGGAUGCCUGAGGGGCUCAAAAACGCUGGAGGAAGUUUCAGCAGAAUGACUGCGAAGGUUCUUCAGUCUCAAAUAGGCAGAAAUGUGUUGACCUAUGUUGAUGACAUUAUCGUCAAAAGCACGAAGCAGGAAAAUCAUAUUGUUGAUCUGCAGGAGACCUUCGCCAGCUUCAGACAAGCUGGUUUGAAGCUGAAUCCAGAGAAAUGUGUCUUCGGAGUAAAGAAGGGUAAAUUUCUUGGAUGCUUGGUUUCAACAAAGGGAAUCGAAGCUAAUCCAAAUAAAAUCGAAGCUAUACUUCGAAUGGAGCCACCAACUACAAGAAAAGGGGCCCAAAGAUUGACAGGAAGGCUGGCAUCUCUCAACAGAUUUAUAUCCAGAUCAGCAGAAAGAAACUUACCAUUUUUCGAGGUGCUGAAGUCAGCCGAAGUCUUUCAAUGGGGCCCAAGUCAACAAAAAGCCUUCGAAGAGUUGAAGCAAUACUUGAUAGAUCUCACAACAUUAACUCCGCCAACGCCAGGGGCUCCUCUGUUGUUAUAUGUGGCAGCUUCGCACUCAGCAGUAAGUGCGGCGCUUGUCCAGGAGAAGCUUUAUGGCCAGCUUAAGAAGCAAGUUCCAGUGUAUUUUGUAUCUGAGGUCCUUAGUGUCUCAAAGAAAAAUUAUACAGAGCUGGAGAAGGUAUUAUAUGCCGUUUUAAUGGCAUCCAGGAAGCUUCGGCAUUAUUUUCAGGCAUACAAUAUCAUUGUUCCUUCUUCGCAGCCGUUGAAGGAUAUAAUGAGAAAUAGAGAAGCUACUGGACGGAUUGGGAAAUGGGCUGCAGAGCUCAACGAAUUUUACAUUGAUUAUGUGCAUAGAUCUUCGAUCCAGUCUCAAGCAUUGGCAGAUUUCAUUGCCGACUGGACGCCAGGGGCUCAGGAUGAAGAAGCAAAUAAAGAUGCCGAAGUGUGGACAGUGUUUUGUGAUGGCUCUUGGGGAAUCUUCGGAGCAGGUGCAGCUGCUGUGUUGGUUUCACCAUCCAAGGUCAAAACUUGUUAUGCAGCAAGACUUGAUUUCAGCUGCACGAACAAUAUUGCUGAGUACGAAGCCCUGCUUUUGGGCCUUCGGAAAUUAAAGGCAAUGGGAAUCAGAAGGGCAAUUCUUAAAACUGAUUCCCAGGUGGUUUCGGGUCAUGUUGACAAAAGUUGCAAGGCUAAAGAUCCGAAGCUUGAAAAAUAUCUAGAUACGGUCCGAAGGAUCGAAGCAUCCUUCGAAGGAUUCUCUGUCAAGAAUAUUCCUCGAGGACAAAAUGAGCAUGCUGAUUUGCUAGCUAAGUCUGCGGCACAGGGGCUGCCGUUACCUUCGGAUGUGUUCUUCGAAACAAUAAAGGCACCUUCAGUGGAGCUCCUUGAAAGAGCAGUCCUCAACAUAUCUCCUGUUUACAGCGAAGAUUGGAGAACUGAAAUAAUCUCUUACCUUCAGGGUAAGUUCCUUUCAGAUGACGAAGCUUACAAUAAAAGAAUAGAGGCAAGAGCUCGUCCGUAUGUCAUGAUAGAAGGGGAAUUAUACAAACAUGGAGUUUGCGCUCCGCUGCUCAAGUGCUUAUCUAGAGCCGAAGGUAUAGAGUUGAUGAAAGAGAUACAUGCAGGCCUGUGUGGAUCCCACAUCGGAUCCAGGCCAUUACUUGGGAAAGUCUUCCGCCAAGGGUUUUAUUGGCCGAAGGCAGCUUCGGAUGCGGCGGAGUUAGUGCAAAAGUGCGAAGGUUGUCAGAAAUGUGCAAGAGAUCAAAAACAACCUUCGUCUUUGACACAGCUGAUACAACCCAUCUGGCCAUUGCAAAGGUGGGGCCUUGACUUGUUGGGUCCAUUACCACCGGCUCAAGGGAAUCUAAAAUAUGUUAUAGUGGCUGUGGAGUAUUUUUCCAAGUGGAUUGAGGCGAAGCCAUUGGCCACAAUAACUUCGGCCACUGUCCAAAAGUUUUUCUGGCAGAAUAUUGUCUGUCGCUUCGGGGUACCGAAGGCAAUCACUGUAGAUAAUGGAACGCAGUUUGACUCCGAAGCUUUCAGAAAUUUCUGUGAUCAAAUUGGAACGAAGAUCCAUUUUGCAUCAGUCAGGCAUCCGGAGUCAAAUGGGCUCGUUGAAAGGGCCAACGGCAUUAUAAUGACAGGAAUAAUGAAGUUAAUCUUCAAUCAACCCAGGGGAAAGUGGCCAGAUCAGUUAAUCAAAGUGGUGUGGAGCCACAAUACAACAACAUCAAGGUCUACAGGCUUUACCCCAUUCAAAUUAUUAUUCGGUGACGAAGCAAUAACUCCGGAGGAAGCAAAAGCUGGAUCAAUAAGAGUAGUAGCUUCGGCAGAAUCAGGUCCCGAAAAUGCUUGCCUUGUGGAAAAGGAUGCUUUAGAAGGGAUCAGGCUUCAGGCCGUGGAGAAUAUCAAUAAAUAUCAGGCUGAAACAGUUAAAUGGCGAGAUAGAAAAGUCCGGCUAAAAAAUAUUGAGCCGGGACACUUGGUGCUUCGGAGAGUGGCUAACCCAGAUACAGUGGGUAAGCUACAGUUGAAAUGGGAAGGACCAUUCUUAGUAGUAUCUUCGUCAAGGCCUGGAUCAUACAGAUUGAAGGACAUGGAUGGCAACGAAAUUCCAAGGUCUUGGAAUGCGGAUGAGCUUCGGCGAUACUAUGUAUAACAUGAUGUAAUUUUUUAUGUUUUUUCUUUUCUUUUUCAUGGCACCCUUUUCCUUUCCGAAGGGGGAGAAAGGUUUUUAAUGGGGCCAUCAUGUGUAAUUUCCUUUUUUAGUCUUAUAAGAGCAAAAUCCCCCAAAAAAUGUAAAUGUAACAGCUGAGAACGCACCAUCGAGUGCAGAAACUGAAAAAGAAAAAAGAGAAGAAGCUCCAAAGACGUUCCUAAGGGAAUGCAGAGCUUAUACCGCCUAAGUAAAAGGCGAAGAAACUCCAAAGACGUUCCUAAGGGAAUGCAGAGUUUAUACCGCCUAAGUAAAAGACGAAGAAGCUCCAAAGACGUUCCUAAGGGAAUGCAGAGCUUAUACCGCCUAAGUAAAAGGCGAAGAAACUCCAAAGACGUUCCUAAGGGAAUGCAGAGUUUAUACCGUCUAAGUAAAAGACGAGGAAGCUCCAAAGUCGUUCCUAAGGGAAUGCAGAGCUGAUGUGUGGUUGAUUCCAAGGAAAUAAUGGUUGAGUGUGGCUUCGGUUAUAUGCUUUGGACAUUCAUUCGCACAUUACAUCAUAGCAUUUGCAUUCAUAAGCAUUCAUUCAUAGCAUUUGUGUUCCUAAGUGGUUGCUUCGGCAAAAGGAAGAAGUGGUCUUUUAUGUUUCGUCAUGUACAAAAAGAAAAAGCUUCGGCAAGAAGAAGAAGCGGUCUUUUAUGUUUCGUCAUGUACAAGAAAGAAAAAGCUUCGGCAAGAAGAAGAAGCGGUCUUUUAUGUUUCGUCAUGUACAAAAAAGAAAAGCUUCGGCAAGAGGAAGAAGCGGUCUUUUAUGUUUCGUCAUGUACAAAAAAGAAAAGCUUUGGCAAAAAGAAGAAAUGGUCUUUUAUGCUUCGUUGUGUCCGAAAAGAAGGGAAGGUGUUUUUUCGCCUUCGGCUCAAAAUACUGAUUUCGUCCACAUCAAAGCGUCUCAAUAAAAGGGUAAGAAUAUAUUACAAGGUAUGAACAAAGUUCCUUGAGAAUAGAUUAAUUGUAUUUACAAAAAGUUGUUACAAAUUCUCCUGAGUUUUUUCUAGUCUACUCCUAAUAAUCUUCGUCAGGUUUCUGCUUCGGCGGCAUAUCCUUUAAGUAUCACCUUCAGCUUCGUCAUCCUACAUGAAUCAAGGUAUCCCGAGUAAAAAUCAAGUGUGAAGGAGGAGGUAAGUACAAAGUAUGAUUUCUUACUGGUUCAAGAUGACUUCGAGCUUCGUCCCCAGCCUUCUCUCGCCCGCCUUUUGUCCAUAUCAUUUUUAUGAAUCUAUUUGAGAUGCUCCGGGCGAGGUCAGGAAUGUCGUCGAGAAUUGAUGGAGACAGGGCGAAGUUGGGCCUGUUGACAAUCUUUCCAUGCUCGCAGCCAGCCUUCAGGAAUGCUGCAGCAGUACCCCGAGAAGCUACCCAGGCACAGAAGUCACCAUGCCCAGCUAUAACUUCGUCAAGUUCUUCAAUUUCAGCUUCGAUAUGAUCGAAGGCUUUUGGUAAAUCUUCAUCCGAAGGGGUAAAUUUCCCGCUGCUGGCUCCAACUGAGUAAAAGAUCUUCUUUAGUUGUUGGAUACAAUUGUUGCUAAAAUUCAAACAUUUAUCCUGAAGGCUUGUUAAUGAUUUCUUCAAAUUUGAGUUGGCUUGGACUUCGGCUUCAAGUUUCGAGUCAAGUUUUAGCUUCUCUUGUUCAAAUUGUUUUGAUUGGCAGAGAAGCUUCGAAUUCAAUUCUGCUACUUUGGCUUCAGUCUCUGCCAGCAAGCCUUCGGUUGAUUGAAGUUCGAAGUCUUUCUUUUCAAUAAUAGCUGAUUGUUCUUUUAUCUUGCUCUCUAAAUUUUCAAUUAUAGCUUCGUGCUUUUUAUCUUCUAGAUCUUGCUGCAUCCUCAAAGCUUUGCUUAGAAGCAUGCUCUGCAAAUAAACAACCUUCGUUAAAAAAUAUUGCCAUUAUUAAAAAACAAUAGAAGUUAGAGAGAAGGAUGUUUACCUUGAAAUUUGAAUAAAAUAAGCUGCCGACGAUAUGUUGUCGUCGGUAGCGGCUGAUGUCUGUCUCUAGUUUCGGAAAACCGAUACUCUUUGAUAGAGUACCGAUGACCUUAGCCCCAGCUGAGUCCCGGAUGCAGCCCAGUUUUUCAUCAUCAAUGCCUCCAAAUAGAAGAGCUCCUGGCUUGUAUCCGCAAGAUUUGGCGUAUUCCUUAAGCUCUUCUUUUUCGGCCUUCGACAGUUUUUGCCCGACUAAAUUUUGAAAUGAGUAGGCUUCGUCGUCCGAAGUGUCUUCGGCUAUUUCUUUCCCUUUCCCAGGCACUGUGGCCAUGGUUUCUUCAGCAGUGGUGGCAGCUUCUUCUGCAGCCAUGUCUGUUAAAAUUUUGUUGAUGUCUUCAAUAGUAGAUUCUAAGUUUACAUCUUCGGCUGUAGCGGCUUCGGUAGCCGUGACCUCCGAAGGUGCGACUUCGACAUUUUCUGUGCCCACAACAGCUGGUGUUUUCUGGAUUGACGCCCUCGGUGGCGUCUUGUCAAUAACUUCUGUUACGGCAAUAAUUCUUUGCCUUUUCGCUUUGGCUAUCUUCGUUUUUUCCGGCUCCGCCACCUUUUGAAAAAGCUUCGUCAGUCGAGGCCCUAAUGGACUUAGCUUCGUGGGCAUGGGUUCAGUCAUUACCUUUAGAAUUUCCUCCACGUCGCUAGUAGAAGGUGGUGUGGGGGUCCCCUCUUCUUCGGAUAGUUUUCGCUUUGGAGUUGAUAUUUUUCUCUUGACAAUUUUCUUCUUUUUUGGUGGUUGUUCUUCAUCCUUGUUUAAAGCUUCGGCCGCUCUUUUUCUUCUCUGGCCCUCAGCACCCUUGUUCAGCUGCGCAUAAUCAGGAUAUUCGAAACCCAGUGCAUCAAGCACUCGGUUCAGCCUUCGCUUCGGACGGGUGCCGAAGGCUGCUGUCAUCAGUUGAUCUUCCUUUUUCGAAUAAUUUCCAAGAAUUUCAUUACACAUCACCUCAACUGUAUCCAGCCACUCUUGGCAGGGCUUCUUAAAAUAUUUCUUGAAUUUGAAGUGGUAAGGAAGCCGGACAAGAUCCCCUUCCUUCUUCUCCCCCUUUAACUUUGGCAUUUCCCAUUUUUUCAGAGUAGGGAAGACUCUGAAUGCUAAGAAUUCUUGAACCAGAUCCCUGGUACCAAUAUGCUCUGCAACGAUUCUGAAUUCAUCCAUUGCCCGUUGAGUUUGACCCUCUGGUGUCAUGUUGCAGUGGGGUCGGGUUUCUCCAAAAGUUAGCUCGAGUGGACUUUGCACAAGCUUCUCCUUGUCCUCAUCAACCUUGACAUAGAACCAUUCUGAUUUCCAGCCUGCCGGCCAUUUGCUUCGGUAGCUGAUUACAGGAAACUUUGCGGUUUUCCGGUAGGCAAAAUUGUAGCAACCGAAGUUUUCAUGAAGCCCAUCUUUUCUGGCCUUUGUUUGAUAAUGCAAUUCAUGAACUCGACAGAAACUGUCAGCAAAAGGCUCCACUGCUUGGCUUCGGAGGGCCCAAAUAUAAACGCUAAGCCUAACGAUAGCGUUAGGAGUUAACUGAUGAAGGUAGAUGCCAAACCUCUUCAAUAUCUCCGCAACAAUCUCGUGAACAGGGAAUCUUAGCCCAGCCUUUAAAAAGCUUUUGAAGAUGACAACCUCGUCCUUCUCUGGCUUCGGGGUGGUCUCUUCUCCCCCGAAGCGAAGUAGCUUCUUCUGAUCUUCACUGAAAAAACCUGCUUUCACCAUCUUGGCGAGAUCAACCUUUGAAACAGUCGAUUUUCCGAAGUCUAGGUGGCUGGGUUUGCUGGGCAUGGCAAUACGGUAGUCAUCUUCGGAGUCGGUUUCUUCAAUGUUCCCUUCUCCUUCGGCAGCUGUCGGGUUUGCUUCGGCAGCAGGCAUUUCUUCCGCAGUCACCAGUCCGGAGCGCUGCAUCGCUUCGGAGAUGGGCACAGUCUCCGAAGCUUCAGUUUCGUCCCCCUCACGCUCAACCCUAGCUGUAGAGCGAACUCUGGCCAUUUAAUUAUGAACUUGUGAAACUUUGAUACUUUUUUCUCCGAAGCAGGCUUCAAGAUGGAGCUUCGUUCAAAUCUGACAAACAAGCUUCGGUGAUGGUUAAAAAUUUUGGCAGCAAAACAGUGCAAAUAGCAGUAAAUGCUGUGGUAACUUCACACCUACUCGUCUGUUUAUAUAGUGCUGCAGGUAAGAAGGCGAAGCGGCAGGGUUUUUACACCAGGCGGGCAGUAACUUGUACUCGCUGCGCAGUGGACCGCAAAGACCAAACAGUGACUCUGCAAGGUGGGACCGACACGAUCUCGGGAAAUGAAUCGUUUCUCGGCAACGAGCUCAGGGAAGGUGUUUUUUGGACCUUCGGCUUCCCGAAGCUUGAGAGGAUUUUUUCACGGUUCAAGCUCGUUACGAAAAACGAUCUAGCGCCGCGAAAGGGGCUACUGUUGGGCCCAUGCUUCGUUGCGCCGAAGGUCUUGCGUGAAGAAGCAGCUUCGGCUGAAAUCGUCCCCAGGAAAUGGCCGAAGGUUCCUUUUUAUAGAGCUUCGGCGUUGCAAACCGACAUAAAGAUAGAAUGACCUUUUUAUCCUUAGAGGUCUAAGAUAAUGUUGUAAACUUUUGUAAAGGGCAUAAUUGUAAUUCGUCACAGGCUGCGUCCUGUGUCUAUAAAUAGAUGAACAGUACCCCCGUACUGUUCACACGCUGACUUGGCAUUUGCUUUUGCGUCACGCUUGUACUUUUUACCUUCUCUCAGGACCGAAGGUACAUUUGUAAUUUGAAAUCAUUUCUAUUUUUCCAUGUUAAUAAAAUAGAAAUGAUUCUAUGAUGAUGCUUAUAUUAUAUUUCAUGCUUUAUAUGAGUCCUUCGUCAUUACUUGUUAUGUUUACGAAGGUAUGUCUCUUAUGACCUUCGUCCGAAAUUCAUUAUUUCCCGAAGGGACAUAAUGCUUCGAAGGACGAAGGACUUUAACACUUAACACUUUUUAUGUUGCCUUGUUCUUAACUCUUAGCAUUUGAGAACAAGUCCCCAACACAACCCAUGUCAUCUUCUCCUACCAGCCACUCAGCACGGCGGCGCAGUCCACCACGGCGGCGCGCCAAGACAGCACAACGGCGCCCUGCCUGCCGCGCAUAAUCCCCCAAUUUCCUAAUCGAGCGGAGCUACACGAUCCAGGGAAUACUACGAAUCUAAAGGGAGAGCCCUUACCAGCGAUUAUGCCGCAGGGGCAUGCCCCCACGAAGCAGGGUGAGGUCGCGACGGCCCAUGACUUCGGCGAGGAAUCACCCAACUCCGGCCACUCCGCACAGGCACCACACGGCAAACGGUGAAUCGGUGACGCGCACAGCGGCUUCCUCCCCGGUGCUUUCUCUCACGCGACGAGGGUGCACGCACGUACCCAGGUGGACGCGUAUGGCCCGGCGGCAUCACUCCCACCCGAGCGAACAGCCGAGGCCAUGCGGCUUCACAUGCAGGCAUCGGCGCAUGUACUCUCACUCUUCCUCGCUUGCCAAUGGCGGCAUCCUGCGCUGCGUUUG
rnacentral:lncRNA from 1 species